rnacentral:rRNA from 1 species
UUGAGAAUUUGAUCCUGGUUCAGGACGAACGCUGGCAGUGUACCUUAAGCAUGCAAGUCGAACGGUGAAACACUUGGCCGCAAGGCCUUGUGUGGAGCAGUGGCAGACGGGUGAGGAAAGACAGGAAUCUACCUUUUUGUGGGGAAUAGCUGGCCGAAAGGCCAAUUAAUACCGCAUAAGUCCGCAAGGAGAAAGGCCUUAACCGGCCGCAGAAAGAUGAGCCUGUUCGCUAUCAGCUAGUUGGUGAGGUAAUGGCUCACCAAGGCUAUGACGGCUAGGGGGCGUGAGAGCGUGGCCCCCCACAAUGUUACUUAGACACGGAACAUACAUCUACGGAUGGCAGCAACUGGGAAUUUUGCACAAUGGACGAAAGUCUGAUGCAGUGACACUGCGUGUGGGAUGAAGGCCCUCGGGUCGUAAACCACUGUGAUAGGGGAAGAAAUUUUGACGGUACCCUAUUAGAAAGCGCCGGCAAACUACGUGCCAGAAGCCUCGGUAAUACGUAGGGCGCAAGCGUUGUCCGGAUUUAUUGGGCGUAAAGAGUAUCGUAGGCGGUUUGUAAAGUAUCGGGUUAAAGCCUGGAGCUCAACUCCAGAGAUGCUCGAUAAACUAACAGACUAGUGGGUGUUCGGGGUUGCUAGAAUUCUUGGUGGAGGAGUGAAAUCCAUUGAUAUCAAGAAGAAUACCAAAAGCGAAGGCAGGCAACUAGAACAUUCCAGACGCUGAUGAACGAAAGCUAGGGGAGCGAAAGGGAUUAGAGACCCCUGUAGUCCUAGCCGUAAACAAUGAACACUAGCUAUUUCCCGUAAGGGGAGUGGUGUAAGCUAACGCGUUAAGUGUUCCGCCUGGGGAGUACGGCCGCAAGGCUAAAACUCAAAGGAAUUGACGGGGAAUCGCACAAUCAGCGUGCCAUGUGGUUUAAUUGGAUACGAAACCUUGAACCUUACCUAGAUUUGACAUGUAACUGCAAAUCCCCGGAAACGGGGACUCCUUCGAGGGUGUUACACAGCUGCUGCAUGGUUGUCGUCAGUUCGUGUCGUGAGGCGUCGGCUUAAGUGCCGUAACGAACGCAACCCCUGUGCUAUGUUAAAUAUCCAUAGCAGACUGCCACGGUUUUUUCCGUGGAGGAAGGAGGGGAUGAUGUCAAAUCAGCAUGGCGCUUAUAUCUAGGGCUACACACAUGGCGUAAUGGGUGGGACAACGGGAUGCCAAGGCGCGAGCCGGAGCUAAUCCUUAUAAACCCAUCCUCAGUUCGGAUCGCAGGCUGCAAUUCGCCUGCGUGAAGGGGAGUUGAUAGUAAUCGCGGAUCAGCAACACCGCGGUGAAUACGUUCUCGAUUCUUGUACACACUGCCCGUCAAGUCAACAAAGUCAGNNGCGAUGGGGGCUAAGUCGUAACAAGGUAUCCGUACUGGAAGGUGCGGAUGGAUCACCUCCUUUCUA